rnacentral:rRNA from 1 species
GUGGGGAAUAUUGCACAAUGGGGGAAACCCUGAUGCAGCAACGCCGCGUGAGUGAUGAAGGUCUUCGGAUUGUAAAACUCUGUCUUUGGGGACGAUAAUGACGGUACCCAAGGAGGAAGCCACGGCUAACUACGUGCCAGCAGCCGCGGUAAUACGUAGGUGGCAAGCGUUGUCCGGAUUUACUGGGCGUAAAGGGAGCGUAGGCGGAUUUUUAAGUGGGAUGUGAAAUACCCGGGCUUAACCUGGGUGCUGCAUUCCAAACUGGAAGUCUAGAGUACAGGAGGGGAAAGUGGAAUUCCUAGUGUAGCGGUGAAAUGCGUAGAGAUUAGGAAGAACACCGGUGGCGAAGGCGACUUUCUGGACUGUAACUGACGCUGAGGCUCGAAAGCGUGGGGAGCAAACAGGAUUAGAAACCCCAGUAGUCA